CCCUGCAGCUGGGAGAGGAGCCCCAGCCCCAGGAGUACCAGGUGUUCCCAUUCUGUGAUCAGCACAGAACACAGAAACCUCACCAUGGAGUUUGUGCUGGGCUGGGUUCUCCUGGUUGCUCUUUUGAAAGGUGUCCAGUGUGACGUGCAGCUGGUGGAGUCUGGGGGAGACCUGGUGAAGCCUGGGGGGUCCCUGAGACUUACCUGUGUAGCCUCUGGAUUCACCUUCAGUAGCUAUGAUAUGAGCUGGGUCCGCCAGGCUCCAGGGAAGGGGCUGCAGUGGGUCGCAUAUAUUUAUGAUGAUGGAAGUAGCACAUACUACGCAGACUCCGUGAAGGGCCGAUUCACCAUCUCCAGAGACAACGCCAAGAACAUGCUGUAUCUUCAGAUGAACAGCCUGAAGACCGAGGACACGGCCACAUAUUACUGUGCAAGAGACACGUAUAAAUACGGGUGGAAGGGUUAGGUGAGGAAAUCACAG